rnacentral:rRNA from 1 species
UUUCCGGUUGAUCCUGCCGCCGGCCACCGCUAUCAAGUUCCGACUAAGCCAUGCGAGUCAAGGUAUCGUAAGAUGCCGGCAAACUGCUCAGUAACACGUGGAUAAUCUAACCUUGAGUAAGGGAUAACCUCGGGAAACUGAGGAUAAUACCUUAUAAUUGCUUAAAACUGGAAUGUUUAAGCAAUAAAAGUUCCGACGCUCAAGGAUGAGUCUGCGACCUAUCAGGUAGUAGGUGGUGUAAUGGACCACCUAGCCUCAGACGGGUACGGGCCCUGGGAGGGGUAGCCCGGAGAUGGACUCUGAGACAUCAGUCCAGGCCCUACGGGGCGCAGCAGGCGCGAACACUGUGCAAUGCGCGAAAGCGCGACACGGGGAGCUUGAGUGUCUUGGCAUAGCCAAGACUUUUCUCAUUCCUAAAAAGCAUGAGGAAUAAGUGCUGGGUAAGACGGGUGCCAGCCGCCGCGGUAACACCCGCAGCACAAGUGGUGGUCACUUUUAUUGAGCCUAAAGCGUUCGUAGCCGGUUUUGUAAAUCUUUAGAUAAAGCCUGAAGCUUAACUCCAGAAAGUCUGAAGAGACUGCAAGACUUGAGAUCGGGUGAGGUUAAACGUACUUUCAGGGUAGGGGUAAAAUCCUGUAAUCCCGGAAGGACGACCAGUGGCGAAAGCGUUUAACUAGAACGAAUCUGACGGUAAGGAACGAAGGCUAGGGUAGCAAACCGGAUUAGAUACCCGGGUAGUCCUAGCUGUAAACACUGCCCAUUUGAUGUUGCUUUUCCGUUGAGGGAAGGCAGUGUCGGAGCGAAGAUGUUAAAUGGGCCGCUUGGGAAGUAUGGUCGCAAGACUGAAACUUAAAGGAAUUGGCGGGGGAGCACCGCAACGGGAGGAAUGUGCGGUUUAAUUGGAUUCAACGCCGGA